GGGAGGCAGCAGUGGGGAAUAUUGGGCAAUGGAUGCAAGUCUGACCCAGCCAUGCCGCGUGCCGGAUGAAGGCCCUCAGGGUUGUAAACGGCUUUUAUUCGGGAAGAAGAGCAGGGAUGCGUCCCUGUGUGACGGUACUGAAUGAAUAAGCACCGGCUAACUCCGUGCCAGCAGCCGCGGUAAUACGGAGGGUGCGAGCGUUGUCCGGAUUUAUUGGGUUUAAAGGGUGCGUAGGUGGCUUUUUAAGUCAGUGGUGAAAUACAGCCGCUCAACGGUUGAGGUGCCAUUGAUACUGAAGAGCUUGAAACAAGUGGAGGCUGCCGGAAUGGAUGGUGUAGCGGUGAAAUGCAUAGAUAUCAUCCAGAACACCGAUUGCGAAGGCAGGUGGCUACGUUUGAUUUGACACUGAGGCACGAAAGCAUGGGGAGCAAACAGGAUUAGAUACCCCGGUAGUCCA
rnacentral:rRNA from 1 species